rnacentral:lncRNA from 1 species
CCUGCUAAUCAUAUGAAUUCAGUUUCUUAGGCAUUAAUUAUAUCAAAGUUAAUAGUGUGCAUGUUGAAAUAUCACUGAUUCUUUUGUUGAUAAGUUUCUAGUUUAAAUCCUGAUUGUUGCAUCCUUGCCCAACUCUUGUGUGCUCAAUCUCUAACUUUCAUUAUAGACUCUUCUCCCUCUGUGUCUAUCUUUGUUUAUUGUGUGCAUGUGACUGUCAUGUACCUAUGCACCUUGAAUAUGCUGAAUAUUGCUAAUUUUGGAAAACUUUUUCCACAGCCAAACAAUCAACUAGUAUAGCAGGGA